rnacentral:rRNA from 1 species
GAUGAACGCUGGCGGCGUGCCUAAUACAUGCAAGUCGAGCGAACGGACGAGAAGCUUGCUUCUCUGAUGUUAGCGGCGGACGGGUGAGUAACACGUGGAUAACCUACCUAUAAGACUGGGAUAACUUCGGGAAACCGGAGCUAAUACCGGAUAAUAUUUUGAACCGCAUGGUUCAAAAGUGAAAGACGGUCUUGCUGUCACUUAUAGAUGGAUCCGCGCUGCAUUAGCUAGUUGGUAAGGUAACGGCUUACCAAGGCAACGAUGCAUAGCCGACCUGAGAGGGUGAUCGGCCACACUGGAACUGAGACACGGUCCAGACUCCUACGGGAGGCAGCAGUAGGGAAUCUUCCGCAAUGGGCGAAAGCCUGACGGAGCAACGCCGCGUGAGUGAUGAAGGUCUUCGGAUCGUAAAACUCUGUUAUUAGGGAAGAACAUAUGUGUAAGUAACUGUGCACAUCUUGACGGUACCUAAUCAGAAAGCCACGGCUAACUACGUGCCAGCAGCCGCGGUAAUACGUAGGUGGCAAGCGUUAUCCGGAAUUAUUGGGCGUAAAGCGCGCGUAGGCGGUUUUUUAAGUCUGAUGUGAAAGCCCACGGCUCAACCGUGGAGGGUCAUUGGAAACUGGAAAACUUGAGUGCAGAAGAGGAAAGUGGAAUUCCAUGUGUAGCGGUGAAAUGCGCAGAGAUAUGGAGGAACACCAGUGGCGAAGGCGACUUUCUGGUCUGUAACUGACGCUGAUGUGCGAAAGCGUGGGGAUCAAACAGGAUUAGAUACCCUGGUAGUCCACGCCGUAAACGAUGAGUGCUAAGUGUUAGGGGGUUUCCGCCCCUUAGUGCUGCAGCUAACGCAUUAAGCACUCCGCCUGGGGAGUACGACCGCAAGGUUGAAACUCAAAGGAAUUGACGGGGACCCGCACAAGCGGUGGAGCAUGUGGUUUAAUUCGAAGCAACGCGAAGAACCUUACCAAAUCUUGACAUCCUUUGACAACUCUAGAGAUAGAGCUUUCCCCUUCGGGGGACAAAGUGACAGGUGGUGCAUGGUUGUCGUCAGCUCGUGUCGUGAGAUGUUGGGUUAAGUCCCGCAACGAGCGCAACCCUUAAGCUUAGUUGCCAUCAUUAAGUUGGGCACUCUAAGUUGACUGCCGGUGACAAACCGGAGGAAGGUGGGGAUGACGUCGAAUCAUCAUGCCCCUUAUGAUUUGGGCUACACACGUGCUACAAUGGACAAUACAAAGGGCAGCGAAACCGCGAGGUCAAGCAAAUCCCAUAAAGUUGUUCUCAGUUCGGAUUGUAGUCUGCAACUCGACUACAUGAAGCUGGAAUCGCUAGUAAUCGUAGAUCAGCAUGCUACGGUGAAUACGUUCCCGGGUCU